rnacentral:rRNA from 1 species
UACGAGGGGGGCAAGCGUUGUUCGGAAUUAUUGGGCGUAAAGGGUGUGUAGGCGGUUGUUUAAGUUUGGUGUGAAAUCUCCCGGCUCAACUGGGAGGGUGCGCCGAAUACUGAGCGACUAGAGUGCGGGAGAGGAAAGUGGAAUUCCUGGUGUAGCGGUGAAAUGCGUAGAUAUCAGGAGGAACACCGGUGGUGUAGACGGCUUUCUGGACCGUAACUGACGCUGAGACACGAAAGCGUGGGUAGCAAACAGG